rnacentral:rRNA from 1 species
CGUAGGUAACCUGCCUGGUAGCGGGGGAUAACUAUUGGAAACGAUAGCUAAUACCGCAUAAAAUUAGAUUAUUGCAUGAUAGUCAAUUAAAAGGUAGCAAUUGCAUCACUACCAGAUGGACCUGUGUUGUAUUAGCUAGUUGGUGAGGUAAAGGCUCACCAAGGCAACGAUACAUAGCCGACCUGAGAGGGUGAUCGGCCACACUGGGACUGAGACACGGCCCAG